rnacentral:misc_RNA from 1 species
UACUGAUCAUACAAUAUUUUUUGCUUUGGAUUAGAAUAAGCGGAUUGAGGUAGAAAAGAUUAUCAUGGAUUAGAUAUCUUUUUGCAAAGAAAUAAAAGGAAUGAUUCCCCCUUUCAAAUUUAAGAAUUCUAAAGGGAUUUAGGUCUAGAUAGGGCUUUCAUAUCAUUCUCAGACAAGGUGAUUGUCAUUUUGACAAAUGAGUCCCAUUCAAUGUUUUGUAGCUUGGCACUUCAUAGCUGUAAGCUAAGCUAUAGG